UGGGUUUUCAAAUUUAGGGGGAUACCUAAAUAGAAAGUCAUUAGGAUUAGGGAGAGGCAUAAAACUUCAUAGGGUUUGAAGUUUCUUAUAAGAAUAAUUGUUCUAAUUCGAAGUAGUGAAUUUCUUUUUUAGGGUAGAGUGCCCCCCAAACAUAUGUGUGAUUUCAUUGAACCGGGUUACCAAUCUCUUGUGUUAUUUUACAGAUUUU
rnacentral:lncRNA from 1 species